rnacentral:lncRNA from 1 species
CUAAAUGCUGGCUUCUCCAAGCCUCCCUUCUCCUUGCUGCCUCUUCUCAUCCUCUCUGCUUUCACUCCAAGGGUUGCAGCAGCCCCUCCGCCUGAUGACUUCCAGAUUGCCACCCCGACCUUGUAGCCAUCACCCUCGGGAUGGCCACAGACCCCUCAGAUUCAGAGGCCCCCAGCUCUGCUCCUCUCUGCAGCCCGAGAUGCUCUCUCCUCUUCCUUUUCCAUCGAAUCCGCGCUCCCCCUCUGCUACCUUCCACCCUCUUCCACCCAUGCUGCAGAAGUGGCAGGCUAAGCGAGGGCCAGAGGCUUGCUUCUGCGGGCUCUUUCCCCUCUGGAAGGUCGUUCGCAAGACCUGGCUGCAUCAGGCCUGUCCCACUUGUCCCACUUAAUGUGACGGGAUCCGGGGAUGUAGGAGUCUCGUUCUGGGUAAGACUUGGUGGUUUUAAAACUCAGGCUCAGAUUUGACUCCAAACUUUUUUCUUCCUCCACGAGGGGCAUGGAGUCUGCCGGCGGCCCUCUCUGUGGUAAUACUGCGCUGUGCAGUGACCUCUGGACAAAGAUUCCUAUCAAGACCUCCCCCCGUGCUGUUACCCCUCCCUGACCAACUGCGUCUUCGCAGGAACCCAGAAGUCCAGGAGUCAUCCCAGCCGUCUCCCUCAUCUUUUCCCUGCCCCACGACGUCUCCUUAGUUGUCAGACCCACUUCUCUGCUCCCAGUCCUGUGGGGCCCCAUCCUCUCUCCCUGGACAUCGGCACUCCCCUCACUGGUUUCCCUGCCCCAGUUCCUUCCACCAAUGGAGCAACCUUUCUAAAACUCCCAAAACUUUAGUCUUAGUUAUAUCCCUCCCCCAACAUCCUCUGAUGGCUCCCUAGUACCUGAAGAAUAUUCCAGCUCCUUUUUCCCGCAUUCUAGGCCUCUCAGUUUGAACCCCAGCCUCAUCUCUAGCACUUGCACCCACUGCUUAGACCCCCAUGGCAAAUAGAUUUCAUCUACUUUGCAGCUGACAAUUGGUCAUGACUGGCCCCCAGCACAGUGUUGAGGGCUGUGAGGUUGAAUCACUGGGAAGGAGAGUGCUGGAAUCAACUAGUGAUGCCUGCCAUGGGCCCAGGAGUGGCAGAGCUGCA